AUUGAACGCUGGCGGCAGGCCUAACACAUGCAAGUCGAGCGAGCGUCGGACGGGUGAGUAAUGUAUGUGGACUGCUCGCUCGUGGGGGAUAACUACUGGAAACGGUAGCUAAUACCGCAUACUAUCGGAUGACCCAUAUGGGAUUAGCUAGUAGGUGAGGUAAUGGCUCACCUAGUCGACGAUCCCUAGCUGGUCUGAGAGGUUGAUCAGACAGACUGGGACGGAGACACGGCCCAGCCUCCGACGGAGGCAGCAGUGGGGAAUAUUGCACAAUGGGCGCAAGCCUGAUGCAGCCAUGCCGCGUGUAUGAAGAAGGCCCUAGGGUUGUAAAGUACUUUCAGUCGGGAGGCGUUACCGGCAGAAGAAGCACCGGCUAACUCCGUGCCAGCAGCCGCGGUAAUUC
rnacentral:rRNA from 1 species